rnacentral:misc_RNA from 1 species
CUGAAAAUCCCAUAUCUCUUUAUACUU